AAGGGGUCAUGGGAGCAAGCGAGCAGAAGAAUUAGCCAGGAUAGCAUGUUUCAGUAGCUUAGUCGACUUAUUUUUGAGACUAGGUCAACUAAGUUGAAGGUGAGUCGACCCAAUCUCAGAGUGAGUCGACUAUGUCUCAGAGGAUGGCCAGUCAGAAAGCUGUGUUUCAAGAUUUUUAGGCCGGCAUGUAGGUGAGUCGACUCAAUUUCAGACUGAGUCAACUUAGUCACAGUAACUACGUCAGCUUAAUCUGAGACUGAGUCAGCUCAGUUUCAUGGGCAGAACUAUGUGAAUUUUAUAUUUGGGUCUA
rnacentral:lncRNA from 1 species